rnacentral:sRNA from 1 species
UAGCUGACGAAGUAGACUGAUGCGACGC